UCCCUAACCAAGACUCUGGAGCUGCCCCUGUAUGGAAGGAAGUGUGCAUUGCGGCAAUGGGCCUAAACGGCCUCUGAAACUGAUAAAAAAAAAUAACACGAAUUACAUAUGAGUUAUGACUGGACAUUCCAGGCAGGGAUAGGGUGGGACACCGGUCACAAAGUUGUACGCAUAGACAAUGCCGUAUAUAAGGAGGGGUCCAGACCCCCCCGAAAUUUUUUAAAUAUUUUAUUUUUUAACAAAUAUCAAAACCGAAAUUCAAUAAAAUUACAAUAUACAUGUUUAAAGUAUUUGGUUUUUAAUUAUUGCUUAGUCUUGGGCAAACAGGAGUAAAUUUGUUUUAAAACAUGGUACUAUACUGCUAUACCAUUAAUCCACGUAAUUAAAUACAUCAAAAUGUCGAAAGGCUUUAGGUUUUAGUGAUUUUAUAUCAAUAAUGUUAAUUAAUGGUAAUGUCUAUAACCAUUAUAUUUGGUAUUGAAAACUAAAAAUUAAUGUUCAAUGAUACAUUUUUCCUUAUAAUUAAACUUUUAAACAUCACUAGUUCAUAUGAAAAUGGAAUUGAACCUUUACAUCCAAUAAACGAACUAAAACCAAAUAGUUCUGUUUAAUUUUAGUAACUGUUACCUAAGGGAACACUUUAUUACUCAUUACUCUGUAAACAUUUUACAAUUCUGUUUGUGGGACGUUCAACAAGACUAAUGGAUCAUCCGAUCAUAAAUUCCUAUUACUUAAAAUUUUUUUAAAUCAUGUAUUUUGCGCAUGCGCAUUAAAACUUCAUUUUUUUAAAAUAGUAACCCCUAUUUUGAAUAUUAUUUUUGGGUUGAUCGAUAUUUUUCAAGUAAUUUUGAUCCAUCAACUUGUGUUCUAAACCCAAAAUUGACGGAAUUAGAGCUAGGUAUAAUUUUUAAAAAUAUUAUUAAAUUCAGUUUUAUUUUAUUUUAAUUGUACGUACCUAUUGUUUCUUUUUUACUAUGAUACAAAUUAUUAUAAAAACAUGAACUUUUGGAAAAUAUCUAUCAUUAAUCAUUCGUUAUUAAACUAAUCAUUGCAUGGGCGAGUAAUAAUGAUUGCAAUAAUGAGCAAAGACUGGCAACAAAGAGAAAGUGCUUGCAAUGACGACUAACUUCGUGAACACACUGUAUAUGUUAUUGGUUAACACUAUGACUUAUCACAUACGAAAAUUUUAUUACCAGCACAGAAUAGAAAAAUGCUACCAAAAUGCAGUUAUGUAGCAAACGUACGACCACCGUACAACUCUAUAGCCACCUUAUUUUAUACAGUGUCCAGUCCUAUGUAUUAAAAAAUUAAAGAGAAUCAUUCAAUAGUUUAUUCAGAUUAUUAUAAUUUUAUACCAAUAUGCCAUUAAAAGGAUUAAAUAUAUUAGAAUUUUUCGGUCUGGCACCAGUAACUUUUGUUGGAACUGUAUUAUCUGAUUUGGAGAAAAUGUGACUAUUAUACAAAGGUGAGUACUUUUCCUAAAGCAAUAUUAUUGUAUUGUAACUUUACCAUCACAAAAAAAGAUAUGAAGAUAUUACUAGGUAGAUGCGUCAUUUAAUAUUUUUUAAAACUAAUUUUGUUUGUUUUUUUAGAGAAGUGUUAUUAUGGAAUUUACAAACUUUUUAAAUGGUGGCAAUAAGUAUCAAUUUAAAACACCCUGAAGUUGUUGAGAUUAUAUAGAAAUUAAUCAUUAAUGCUGACAUUGUACUUGAACCUUAUAGACCAGGCAAGAACAGCUAAAUAAUCUUAACUACACAUUUCAAUAACGCCAUCAAACAAUUCAUAUUAAAACAUAACAAUUAAUUAUUAAAUUUAUAAAGUGUAAUAAAUAAAGUAAUCAUAACGCAAGUAGAUAUACAUACAUGAGGAAAGAUAAUAUUGUGCUGCCUGUUCCAUCACCAAAAAUAAGUGUUACUCCUUGUGAUUCAAGUUCAAAUAAACCAACUGUGGUUUGUGGAUAGAAUAUAAUAGGGAAAUA